ACACACAUCAAACAUCUGUGUUCUUCUAUACAUUCUUAAUACAACUAUCCUAGAUAACUGCAUUAUCUGUGAUGAAACCACUUCAAGUUGCCCACAGGCACCCAUGGUGCAGAUUUGGCCCAUUGCUAUCUCUAGCUUUACUGGGACAAGAUCCGUGAAUACUCAGGGAGCACGUUCACAUUCACGCACAAAAUAUGCUUACCUGUGUUCUAGUUUCAUUGCUUAGGAUUGGCUUGAUAGCUUCUCUGAGGUUAGAUAUGUUCUGUGUUUUUUUGUGCUGUCACAGCCAGAAGUCAAGAUGGAUUUAUAAAUACUCUGGACAGUGGCUCUUUUAAAAAGACCUGUAGAAGAUUUAAAGCAGUUGGUUCUCAGUAUACUUGAAAACAGGACUUCAUUCCUUGAACUCUUCCAGGCAGUUGAUGAUUAGAGUCCUAUGUAUUUUAAGGUCUUGAAUUUAAUGUCUCAAAACUGUUCAUAAUCAAGUGAACUUUCCAUGGCUUAGAAAUACUGGUUGUGUAUUUGAAUUCACCCCUACAAGCUGCUGGCACUCUGUGUCUUCACUAAGUGGGAAAAUAAGACCGAGAGGGGGCUGUCGGCUGCCUGUCCUGAAGCCGUCCGCAGAGCCCUUCCUAGAGUAUUGUCAUUUCCAGAACCACCGGUAAGAUCCUGUGACCCAUGGGGCACUACAGUGACUUUUCACAUGGCUGAUGGCCUGAUAGAUCUGGUUUCGAGGAGGAAUCCUAGACGGGCGCUGUCUUGGUUAUCUGUGCAGUGAAGACUUUACUGUGCUGAUGCUGUCUACACGAGGUGCCCAGAACUGUUAUGGGACCUUACUCAACUGUCACCAAUCCCAUUUCUCAGAUUCUUGAGACUUCUAUUUCCAGAUGUGCACCUCCUUUCCCAUUGUCCUCACCAUCUCUGACUUUUUUCUUUUUGUGCCCACCUAUACAGAAACCCUCCUGUCUUAAGUCUUUUGCAGGAUUCUCUUGCCCCUCGACCUGCAUUGCUGUUUAUGUUGUUUUCUCUCUUCGUCAAAGUAUCUCUUAAGCUAUUGGCUUCUUUUUCUUCAUUAGGCUUUCAGUCUUUUACAUUUCAUUCAAUUUAGCUUCUGUCCCCACAAACCUGCUCUCAGGAUCUCAUGGUUCCCUACUUGCCAGCCUUCUGCAACUCAGUUCUCUGGCCUCCACUUGUGCAUUUAACCCACUGGCCACCAGGCCCCCCUGCCAAUUCCCCUUAGUUCCUGUGAUGCUCUUACCUCCUUUACAUGUCACUGCUGACUAACCCCAACCUUUGGUCAUUGUUCUCUCUGUACUGGCUUUGAAUAGCUUUAUCUGCUGUGUUUAUUACCUCAAUCCCCAGCUAUUUUCCUGGUGCCCUCCUGCCUGUGAUUUCCUGUUCACUUAAACUUUUUAUUGUAACCCCGAACAAACAUGUCACAGAUGUUUAUUUCCCUGCGUGAAUCUCCCCUAACUUCUCACCAUUCUCUAGUAACACGACUCAUUUAUCCAGUAUUAAAUCUUAAAAAGUCCGAGUAUAGUCAUUUGCACAUAAGUAUUUAAUAAAUUCUUAACUAAUUUUAGCUCUGCUAUGAAUUAAAUUAGAUUACAAUUCUGCUUCAAAAUCUAACAAUUUAAGAACUUCAAAGAAAUCUGAACUCAAUUCAUCAUAGGCAAAACUACUUCUGGUUCAAAAUAUUUCUUUUAAUAUUUCCUAAUUCAUUGCAGGAGGUCUUGGGUUUAGUAUUUCAAUUCCAGUGCUUUCAGACUUGGAAAUGUGAUUUCUAGCAGUGUAUUUUAAUCAGGUUAUUUAUGACACAACUUUCUUCUGCAGUGUGAGAUUUUAUUUGGUGACUGUAUCUAAGAUGUUAUCUGGCUGUCUUGUAGGACUCUUCAAUGAAAGUUGGCCUGAUUAAACCAUAACAUUCUUGUGCAGCUUUGAGAAUGUUCCUGCUGUAUGAGUAUCUCUUAUCACAGUUUUUCCAGUUUGGUAAAUUCAAGAACACCCUUUUUCUUUGUUAUUUCCAUUGGUCUAACCUACUGCCCAAACCGUCUGCUGCAUCUUCUAAAAUUUACAUAUCCCUUCAUUAAAGCUGAUCUCGAAAGUAUUUGUAUGCAGUAAAAAUGUUUCCUAAAGUGCCACUGCAUAUUACUUCUAGGUCUUAACGAUGAGAAGCACGAAUUGAAUCUAAAACAUUAAGCAAAAAAAGGAAAACUACAAUAUUGAUCUUAAUUACCCCCUGGAAUUUGUAAGAAAAAAAAAAAAAAAGCUUCACACAUUGUCUGCAUUUAAAAUUCCGACAUUUCAAGUAACAAAGUCUUCUUUUAGAAUAAAGAUGAUUUAGGGUGAGUUUUGUGCUAUUUGUCAGUGAGUUGACUGUUCAGGUGGUGGACGUAAAACCCACCCCCCACCACUCUCACAUAUUGAGAGUGUGGGUUCCCAGUAAUUGUACAGACUGCAUCCUCUGACCUUUUAGACAUUUUUUAAGCAAGCAGAGAUGCAUCUUUGAUUUAGCUUACUCAGCACAUAUUGAUGAGUCAGUACCUAGAAUUUCCUUUUCAAGAUUUUAUUAUAAGUGGCAGAACUGAAUUAAUGUGUUCUUCAUGGAAAAAGUAUGGAGAUCUCCAAAAAACUUUGGAAAUUUAGUGUUUGUAACUAUGUCAUGUUUUUUAGUCUUUGCUGCUGAAAGGGAAAAAAAAAUGAAGAAUCAAAAUAUUAGGACAGUAAGAAACCAGCAUUUUAGUUUCUUGUCCACAAUGCUUAAAACACUCUGUAUUCUAUAAAUUUCAGAUUAGUCCAAAGUCUAAAGAGCAGUAUACCCACAGAAUGCUAAAGUAGGUUUUUGUGGUAGGGUGAUAGACUUUUUUUUUCCUUUUCAAGAUGUUUGUAAUAUGCUUAUAUUUUAUAAUGGAAGAAAUAAGUGUUAAAUUUAUCGGAGCCUCCUACAAUGAGUAUAAUAAUCACAAUGGUUGUGGGCAGUUUUGCUGUAGCUCAUAAAAUGAGCCCAUCUUUAAAACUUGGAUGUAUGGUCACUUUAUAUAUUCAAAAAAAUUAAGAUAGAUUAUUGAUGGAAAAUCCUUGAGAGUAUUUUUCAUUUUUUCCUUAAAGGAACCAAACCUUCCCAUGUGUUAUUUUUCGAAUUUAAUAAACGAUCUCUGUAGCCAGGUUUGUGCCAGGCACUGAGUGCUGGCGCUCUUCCCCCACACCUUGUCCGCCAAUCCCUGUGCCCAUGAUGGCCCAGUGAUUCCAGUCCGGCCCCUUGUCUGGACUCCAGUCCCACUUAAGUUGGAGCAUGGAGACCCACCGUCGUCCACAGGCGCUCUGGUAUUCCCUUGCCUCUCACAUCUCUUCUGCUUCCCUCUGGCCCCCAGCCUUGGCAGGUCUUGAGCCCACACAUUGUCCUUGAUUCUCCUUGCUGGCUAGCCUUCCCUGACCUGCUUACCUCAUCCAAGGCCUCUGCUCAAGCACCUGCAUCACACCACUGUUUAUUGUCCGUAUUCCCUCACCACUAUCUGAGAUUACCUUGUUCUUCCAUUAUCUGUCACCCCCUUUGGAAAUGGAAAUUUUUGUGACAGCAGGAAUUUUAUUUAACUUAACCGGAUCACCAAGGCUUAAACCAUUACUAACACAUGAUAAAUGUUUGAAUAUAUAUGGAUUAUUUAAUUAUCACACAACCAUACAGUGAAGUAGGUAUAUCCUCAUUUUGCAAGUGAGGGACCUGAAUACACAAGUAGCUUACUAAAAAUCACUCAACUGUUAAGUGACAAAGCUGAGAUCAGAACACAGGUGUGUCUGUGUCCAGAACUUUCACAGGAUCUCCCUCAUGAUACGGAAGUUUUCCAGGUGGGAGUCUGGUCACCAUUCACUGGAAACUCAGCAGAAAAUAGGCUGAAUUGCUGUGCUUUGGAUUCACACAUGCCCGAGUCUUGGCCUCCCUCUGUGCACAUACGCACCAGACUUCCAGGCUCACGUGGCGGACGACUGUACCCUGGAGGAUUCUAGAGAAUAAGAGGCUGAAACGGCCUCUUCGUGGUACAUUUCAGCCCCGCAAGGAAGCGCUUACUGAAACAAAAAAAGGAAACUGGCAAGCAAGUGCCCAAGAGUUGCUAAAGUGUGGUUGAUACGAAAUCCUGUAGGUGAGUUCUAGAAAAAAGGAAGUGAAAAAAUAAGGAAGCUGUGGCUUCAAAAUGAAGUCAGUUCCCAAAUUGUGACUGAAUUGUAACCUUAAAUGUGUUUUUUUGUUGUUAAAUGCAUAAUGACAAACUUAGUAAAUUAUACCAAGUUGAGACAGCUAAGUAGCUAUCAUAGGUGCACAGAGGCUGCCCACUAGCCAUUACAGGAUCACCAUAAGGAAAGAGACCAAAGAAUACUAGCAGUGUAAGCCCCCUUCAGGUAGUGUUUCAAGUCAAGAGACUAGCUGUGUUAAGAUAGAUAUAGAUAUAUUUUUUUAAUUACUAAAUUUGUAAUAGGAAUAAUUGUGUGUUUUGGGUUUCAUAAUUUAUUAUUUUUUAAGUUUUUUUUGAGAGAGGGAGAGGGAGAGAGAGAAUGAAUGGGGGAGGGCCAGAGGGCAAGUGAGAGAAUCCCAAGCAGGCUCCACACAGUGUGCAAAGCCCAACUCGGGGCUCAGUUCCACAAACCGUGAGAUUGUAACCUGAGCUGAAAUCAAGAGUCGGAUGCUCAACCAACUGGGCCACCCAGAUGAAGCCCUUGGGUUUCAUAAUUUUAAAUCAGUAGUACUCUUCUUUUAGAAUCCUGUUAUUCCCAGGUUACCUGUCUGUGUGGGUGUGUUUUGCUGCCCUCUGCUGCUAACAGUUGGUACAACAGUGAAGUGUUGACUCCCAGGGCUACCCCUUAACAUUGCUAGAAAGGUGAAGGAUUGGGAAGAAGACAAGUCUGUGUUAGGAAUUUUUCUCUCCUAAAGCAAACUACUGUUUCAACCAAUGCAGCCCAACCACACUAUGCAUGCCUCUGCUCCCCACAACUAACCCCCAAAACUAAACAUCAAAGUGAGAAAUGGUGCUUUUGCUAAGAUGUCAAUGAAAUGAUUUGGAUUUUUAAGUUAUUUGAAGGAUCACAUCAGUAGAAAGGUGAAUGCUGUAAAAGACACCCCUCCAGCCAACCACACCCAGAAUGUGUUCUCUAGAUUAAUCUUAACCUUCCAAGAGCCAUCCACCCCUCUGCUUUGCCUCCAUCAUGUACACACACACACACACACACGUUUACUUCAGAUGAACUAACCAAAUAUUUUCGCUUGUUGGAUAUGAGUGCAGUGUGAUGGUUAAUAGCUAUUGAAACUAGAUUUUGCUUGACUCAAGGCUCACCCACUUAGUGGCUGGAUAACCUUAGACUUGCCCCUUAACUGGUCUCAGCCUGUUUCUUCUGUAAAAUGGGAAUAGUAACUGGAGUUAUUAGUCACUAAUAUUCAAUGAAUAUUUAUAAAGCCCUCACUAUAUGUCAAGUGUUGCAUUGAACUUAUUAAGAUAACUGCAUGUAAAGAAAGCUUAUCUCAAAGCCUGGUCCAGAGUAACCUAAUUUUCACCAGUAAGAAGUAGGUUUCUUUUCCUCAUAAGUAAUUUUUGUGUGUCAGCAGCUAAAAAAUCAUCCUGUGAAAUUCUAAAGGGUGGUGCCCUUCCUAUUUUCUGUACUUAACAGAGCCUCAUAUGUUAUUACAGUUAGAAAGAAUCUUAUGAGUUAUCUGGUCUAGCUUUUGCCAGUCCAAGACUCUCUUCUGUGACCCCCCCGUAUGGACACCUCCACUGGGCCAGGCACCCAUUCCAUCCUUGGACAGCUCCCCUAUUAGACAAUUCUUUCUUGAACACAAAUUGCCUCCUUGUGGUCUGUUUCCCAGUUUUCCCCAGAUCAUCUUAGAAAAAAUCUGCUUGCUUUCUCUCAUGACAGUCCUUCAUAUAUUUGAGGAGACCUAUUAUUCUUACUUUGUAGGCUAAAGUAAAAAGUAAUAAUAACCACCUCAGCCUACAUGGAUUUUUCUUUCUAAAAUAUUCCCAUUAUUUUUUUUUCCAAGGGAACACUGUAUUAAGAUGAUGGAAAACACCUAGCCACUUAAAGUCAUACAUACUGUAUUGAGUAGUGUAAUUUAAGGGUCCAAAAUAAUUAUUUGCAACUAAGGUUGGAAAUAAUCACCAUUUGUUCCCUCCCUCCAAAAUGCAUUACUUCAGCAGUUAUUUGCUGUCAGGCAGCAUUCAUGAAUGCAGGUGCCCAUAAGAUUGGAUGGAGGAGGCUUGCUUAAAGCACAGUGUUCAGGGCACCGUCCCCAGAGCUUCUGACUUGAGUUCUGGCCUGGGGCCCAGUAAUCUGCAUUUUAAUAAGCAUACCCAGUGCUCCCACAUGCUACAGUGUGCCCCCAGGAGAGCCUGGUGUCCCACCCGAAGCACUACCUGGUGCAAAGGAAGGAGCCCAUCUUCUCUGCUGGCCCCCGGGGAACCCCUAACUAGCCGAAGGGCAGGGCAGCACCUGCACCACAGACGGGGAUGGGUUGGGUUGCUGGGCUCUGGGGACCCUCCUUCUGCUUGUACAGGAAUGGGGCUGCUUCGCUUGCCUUUUCCUAUCGUUCCUGCCCUCUUCUGGGAUGCCCCAGAGGCCAGCUAAAGGCAGUGGUGGCGGCUGACCCUUUGAGCACUUCCUGUGAUCCAGAAACUCUUCUAAGCAUUUUACUUGUGUUCACUCAUUUAAUGGCCAGGGCCCCCUGCCCUAUGAGAAAGGCUCUAAUACCAUCGUGGUACAGCCAAGGAAACGGAGGCCUCGAGCAAUAAGGCAGAUUGCCCACUGUCAUUACCCUGCUUUAGAGAUAGUAAGGCCAUCCAGGAUCUGGACCUGGGCAGUGUGACUCCAGGAGCCCUGGCCCAAGGCACCGGGAACCCUCCCAGGGCUGUAAGACCCAUCCUCCCAAACACUGAUGUCCCAAAGCCACCUCAAACUCAAUCUGGGAAUUGGUCACUUUUCUCCCUAGGUCACUUUCUCCUUCAGUGUUUCCUGCCUCCGUUGGUGCGGUCACUGCCAUGGGAAGCCCCCGUUUUACGGGUCCCCCCUCCUUCCUACCUCUUACCAGUCUCUGCUCAGCUCACUUCCUGCAUUUGACAAGUACAGCUGGCCCACGGGGGCGUGGCGCUGGCUGUCACUUGUCAUUGCUGGGGUAGCUCAGACCCCACGUCCCACUGCCAGCCCGGUCCCCUUCAAACCCACCACCACCCACACACUGCCCUGUGCUCAUCACAGAUUGGCCUCCCGAUCCUGUCGCUCUCCCCUGCUUAAAACCUUGCGGCGUCUCCCCACAGCCUGCAUGACGAAGACCAAAUCCUCCACUGUUUCCCCCAGACCUCAGAGCCACUGUCUCACUAGUCCCCACGUUGAAACCGUUCCCUCGCUGAGCUGCCUGUCCUCUGCGCACAGCACCCUGUUGCCACCGUCCAGCCCUCUCCCUAGAUGGAGGACCCUGACACUCUGCCCCUACCUGCUGGCCGAGCACCUCGCUUGCGGGUAACCUUUCAUUCUGAUACAGUUUCAAACUUCCAGAAAAGUUGCAACAUAGCCCAAAUUCCCUCUACUCUUAACCCUCAUGCUGAUCAUUACUCGUUAACAUUUUGCCACAUAUACACAUACACGUACACGCUGACCUAUUUGAGGGUGAAUUGUAGACAUGAUGCCCCUUUGCCCCUGAACACACCCGUGUUUAUGUCCAAAAGACAAAUGCACUCUCUUAUAUAACCAAAUUACAGUGGUUGGAGUCCGGGAGUUUAACACUGAUGCGAGGUUUUCUAAUCCACAGGCUGUGGUCGGGUUUCACUAAUUGUCUCAGUGAUGGUCAUCACGGCUGCAUUUUUUUUCUGGUCCAGGAGCCAGUCCGAAAUCACCUGUUACAUUUAGUUGUCAGGUCUCCUUAGUUUCUUUUAACCUGAAACACUCUCUCAGUGUCUCAGGACUCAAAAAAGCAUGUUUAAGGAGUCAGGCAGGUUCCUUUGCAGAGUGUCCCCCAGCUAGAGCUCAUGUGCUAUUUCCUUGCCCUCAGAUUCAUAUUAUGCCUUUCUGGCAGGAACAGCACAGAAGUGAUGAGGAGCCCCGCUCAGUGCCGUGAGCCAAGAGGCACCUGCUUCUGCUGUUUUGUCGUUACUGUUGUUGAUACUGAUGACCUGGGAGACGUGGGGGUCUCAUUUAGUUUGUCAACCUUGGUUUUCACGUCACCUCUUCAAAAGGAAGCUUUCUUAGCCUCCCGCACCCCUCUUCCAGGCACCCACAGGUCUGGGGGCGCUGUUCCUAUAUCGCCAUUCUCAGCGACUCGAUCUAAUCCUGGUGGUUGUGUUCCUGUGUCCCCCACUCUGCUGCAAGCUCUGUGAGAGCAGGGACCACAUCUUGUUCGCCAGGGCAGCCCCCGCUCCCAAUUCAGGGCCUGGCACGUAGUAGGUGCUUCAUACAUAAUGCUGAGUGAAUGAAAGAGUGCGUGAGACUAUCCUUGAGCGGGUUCAGUCACAAAGCAAACCCCCACCCAGCUCUCUCCGGAUCAGGCUUUGUGGCUUUUUCUGCUUUACUCGUGGAGCAUGGCUAAGUUUUUUUUUAUUUCUUUUUAUGCCGGGUUCUCGCUGAAAGCAUGAAAGUCUUGACUAAAGCCCAAUAAAGAGGCACUGUGUUUAUCCUUCCCUUGGGGAAUCACAGGAUGGACCGAUUUUAGAAACUUCGAAUCCCAGUUUAAGAUUUUCCCAUUUGCUUCUUCUUGGCGUGUGGGAGGGUCAGGGUGGGGGAGAUUCUCUGGGUCUUUUCUCAUGUGAAAUAUUUGGACCCGAAAGAGCAGCACGAAGCAUCUUUGGUGGGCGGGGGGGCCCACAGCCCAGUGGCCUCUGUCCAGCCACACCAGCCACACACCGCACCCCGGGUCGGGAAGUGAUUCAAGGGCUGUCCCGAAGCCUCUCAGGAGGUCACUCUCUCCCUUUGUUGUUUCAGACGCAGGAGGAGGGAGACGCACUGAUGUUGUCAUCAGACCUCUCCCGAAGCUUCUGCCAUCUCAUGGUCUCCAGGGGCUGGGGCUACGGCUCCCCACAAGCCUGCUGCAAGGAAACCCCACCCCCCGGACAUGCGGUUCCUGGAGACCGGCCAUCCUCUCUGCACCAUUUUGCUAUUUGUGAAACCUAGGACAGCACCAGCCCCCUCAGCUGGAUCCUCCCCUGGCUCCCGCGGAAAAGCCACCGCUGGGAAUGGCUGUGCGACCAGGGCUUUGUGGCUUUUGAAUAACGGCUGUCGUGCGUUGUUUCUGGGUGGACGUGUCCUAGCCCAUCAGGCCUCCCCUGCCAGCAGGGUAAGUUGCCAGCAUAACUCUUCUCUGCAAGUUAAGAACGGAUGUCUUGACGUUUGAACAGUAAUACCACGGCUAACGCUGAAAACACGUACAAGGUUGAAGCUAGAAUCUUUCCUGGUUUGGCUUGCACCAAAUUGGAAACCUUCAUCGACCACAUCCUGCAACACCGAGGACCCAAUCACAGCUCCACCAUGUAGCAAACAGAACAAGAGAAAAGGUCUAUUUGAGAAAAGAAUAUCUUAUCCAUAUUUCCUCUGGUAAUUUACAUGAAAUUCACAUCAUUUUCUUCCAGUUAUUGGCUAUGGGUAUCCAAGGGUGUAUUUUUUUUCUUCUGUUUCCAGCUCACAGAACAUUCGUUACUAUCACAGAUUCGCAAGAACAAGCUCACACACACCAAAUACAGAAGGUAACAUUAAUGCUUAAAUGAAAAGGUCCUCUCCAAAUAAUUCAUUAAAAUAUUUGCUUUGUUUUU